rnacentral:rRNA from 1 species
GACGAACGCUGCCGGCGUGCCUAAUACAUGCAAGUCGAACGAAGCUGUUUUAACUGGUGCUUGCACCGACUUAAACAACUGAGUGGCGAACGGGUGAGUAACACGUGGGUAACCUGCCCCAAGGCGGGGGAUAACAUUUGGAAACAGAUGCUAAUACCGCAUAACCACAGAAACCACAUGGUUUCUGUGUCAAAGAUGGUUUCGGCUAUCACUUUGGGAUGGACCCGCGGCGUAUUAGCUAGUUGGUAAGGUAAUGGCUUACCAAGGCAAUGAUACGUAGCCGAACUGAGAGGUUGAUCGGCCACAUUGGGACUGAGACACGGCCCAAACUCCUACGGGAGGCAGCAGUAGGGAAUCUUCCACAAUGGACGAAAGUCUGAUGGAGCAACGCCGCGUGAGUGAAGAAGGUUUUCGGAUCGUAAAACUCUGUUGUCAGAGAAGAACGUGUGCGAGAGUAACUGCUCGUGCAGUGACGGUAUCUGGCCAGAAAGCCACGGCUAACUACGUGCCAGCCGCCGCAGUAA